rnacentral:rRNA from 1 species
CGAGCACGCGCGUGUGGCAUAUCAAUAAGCGGAGGAAAAGAAACUAACAAGGAUUCCCUUAGUAACGGCGAGUGAAGCGGGAAGAGCUCAAAUUUGAAAUCUUCAAGGUUCUACCUUGACGAAUUGUAGUUUAAAGAAGUGUUUUCUGUUAGUGGAGUGGCAAAAGUUCUUUGGAAUAGGACAUCAUAGAGGGUGAGAAUCCCGUAUUUGGUCAUUCCUUCUAGCUUUGUGAUACACUUUCAAAGAGUCGGAUUGUUUGGGAAUGCAGUCCAAAAUGGGUGGUAAAUUUCAUCUAAAGCUAAAUAUUGGCGAGAGACCGAUAGCGAACAAGUACCGUGAGGGAAAGAUGAAAAGAACUUUGAAAAGAGAGUUAAACAGUACGUGAAAUUGUCAAAAGGGAAGCGUUUGACACCAGUGUUGUUUUUUCCGAAAAUCAAUUACGAAUGUUUUGUUUUUGAGGAGUUAUGACUUCAUCGGCUUGCUCCUUUCUUUACGAAACUUUCUUAAUGCACUUUUCGGUUAACAAGUCAACAUCAAUUUCUUUUGUUGUAAAAGGGUAUGAGGAAGGUGGCUUUCUUUUCGGAGAAAGUGUUUAUAGCCUUUUAGCUUCUACAAUCGGAGAGAUUGAGGUCUGCAGCGUAGAUCCUUCGGGGUUAGAUACAGUUAGAUGCUAAGUUAUAGCUUUUUCAUAGACAACUUGUUGACUAUGUUAAGUCUUGUAAUUUACUCGCAGAUGCUAUUUUACCUACGCUUAGGAUGUUGAUGUGAUACUGCGAGCA